GUGAUUAGUAUUCACAUCCAAUUGAAUCUGAGCUUUGUUCCUCUAUUAUUCGCAUUAUUAUGCUUGCACAAAGGCUUUCUAGGCCUGAAAUUGCAACUCUUUUUUCGAGAUUAUAGUCUUCAUCUUUUUUGGGUGAAUUGUCUUGAUAGUUUUCUUCUUCAACUAAUUCAGCAACUUUACUGUUACGAUCCUGAAAUAGAUGAAAUAAAUAAAAAAAAUGAAAGAAAGCACAGACAAGUGAAAGUGAUUCUAUAAGUCAGCCUCACCUCAUUCUAUUUCAAUCAAACAGAAGCUAUCCCACAAAAAAUGAAAAGAAAAAUAGCACAAAUAUGAAACUAUAACAGAAAAAACGAAACCAAAAAAAGGUUUGAAAUGAGAAAAUAUAGUAUUGAAAAACUAAACAAAGACUAAUAAAAACUCUUAUUUUGCUUUAACACAUAAAUAUUAUAUAUAUCAGAUGUGGCUUUUGAUGCUAUAGACCCAUUCACAAUUUUGUAAUUGUACAUAUUAUUUACAUGAUAAUAACAUAUGAUGCUUGUUAAUACCAAAUAAUUGUCUCAUAACCAAUUUAAAAUUUGUGGACUCUUGGCAAUUAUGCAGACUUAUAAUAAUUGAUCAAACAAAUCAUUUUCCCCAAUAAUAAAAUAAAAUGAUCAACUUUUCUUUAGGCCGGAGAAAAAGAGCUACAUAUUACAAAUUACUCUUCAUGAUAUUUUAUCAAACAUGCCAAUUAUGAUAAUGAACAUAUAUGGAGAAGUAGCCAUACAUAUAGACAUGAAUAAAAACCCCUUUUUUGCUUUAACACUUACAAAUAUUAAAUAUAUUUUUGAUGCUAUAGACCCAUUAACAAUUUUAUAAUUGCAUAUAUUAUUUACAUGAUAAUAACAUAUGAUGCUUGUUAAUACCAAAUAAAUGAGAAAUAAUUGGCUCAUAACCAAUUUAAAAUUUGUGGACUCUUGUCAAAUAUUCAGUCUUAUAAUAAUUGAUCAAACAAAUCAUUUCUCCAAGUAAUAAAAUGACAUGAUCAAACUUUUCUUUAGUCUGGAGAAAAAGAGCAUGAAAAACAACCCACAUAUUGCAAAUUACUCUUCAUGAUAUAUAUUUUAUCAACAAUACCAAUUAUCAAAAAUGAUAAUGAACAUAUAUGGAGCAGUAGAUAUACAUAUAGACAUGCAUAGAUUCUAUUUUUCUUACUUUUUUGUAGUGCUUUAUGAAAGCCAUUCAUAAAAUGGAAACUAUAAUUGAAAACAUCAAGCAAAUAUGUUCAAAUUUGAAAACAAAUGGGUAACUUGCAACUAUAUAAUGGAAGUAAAGAAACUUAAACGAUUAUACUUUGGAUAAAUUAUUAACUACGCAUGCUAUCAAACAUAUAUUUUCAAGAACAACAAUUAAUUAAAAAUCAAUUUCCAAAUUAAGUUAACUAAAACUACCGAAAAAAUAUUAUUUAUGUAUAGAUCUAACCUAUUUUUCCUCUCAUUCAAGUGUGAUGUCAAAACCUUACCUAAUUGAUGAUUCCAACAUAGCGGAAGUCAUUUUUGAACUUGAAGAUUAGAUUAGUUAUUGGGGCAUUCAACCUCGAAUUGGGACUAAUAAACAGUUCAAGAAGUUGGAAUCAUCUUUUAAUUGAAAUCAAUUGAUUCACCGAGUCACCUUCUAAUUUGCUUCUAAAUUUCAAUCUGCAUGUUGUCAUAUGUUUCAAUACAGACCAAGUUUAUAGUUUUCUUCAACGAUUUGAGUGAGAUAAACGGGAGGGAAAUCAGAGAUAUCAAAAGUUUUCUCUCUCAUCAUCUUCUCCACGUCUGCUUUCUUCAAGAUAGUCCUGCGAAUCGGGGGGCCGGUUCCAGCGAGUAAUUGAAUUUGUUGAAAGGGAGAAAAAUUUAAAAGUUUCGGGGAGAUGAAAGAAAGGUGAAGGUGAAGAUGUUGGGGCAAGCAGCGAAGAUCUGAGAUCCGAAGAUUGAGGCUGAUGGGCUUAUGACAAAACCGCCUUCAAAUUGCUUUGGGAGCUGGAAUUGGUGUUUUUGUGGUGGAGAGGGAGGGAUCAAGAGAGGAUUUGGGUGAAUUUAUAGAGGCGGCGAUAAAGAGAUGGAUAAAUGAAGAGGAAAAGGAAACAAAAAAAAUUUGAAUCCGUUCGUCUUUGAAGAAGAGGAGUCGACUGAUUUUGAAGAAGAAGAGAAGAUGAGUUGACAAACAAAAUAAAUCAAAUGUACCGAGUUA
rnacentral:lncRNA from 1 species